UACGUAGGGGGCGAGCGUUGUCCGGAUUUAUUGGGCGUAGAGAGCGUGUAGGCGGCCAGGUAGGUCUGCUGUGAAAACUCGAGGCUCAACCUCGAGACGUCGGCGGAAACCAUCUGGCUAGAGUCCGGAAGAGGAGAGUGGAAUUCCUGGUGUAGCGGUGAAAUGCGCAGAUAUCAGGAAGAACACCCGUGGCGAAGGCGGUUCUCUGGGCCUUACCUGACGCUGAGGAGCGAAAGCGUGGGGAGCGAACAGG
rnacentral:rRNA from 1 species